ACUCCUACGGGAGGCAGCAGUGGGGAAUCUUGCGCAAUGGGCGAAAGCCUGACGCAGCCAUGCCGCGUGAAUGAUGAAGGUCUUAGGAUUGUAAAAAUUCUUUCACCGGGGACGAUAAUGACGGUACCCGGAGAAGAAGCCCCGGCUAACUUCGUGCCAGCAGCCGCGGUAAUACGAAGGGGGCUAGCGUUGCUCGGAAUUACUGGGGCGUAAAGGGAGCGUAGGCGGACAUUUAAGUCAGGGGUGAAAUCCCGGGGCUCAACCUCGGAAUUGCCUUUGAUACUGGGGUGUCUUGAGUAUGAGAGAGGUGUGUGGAACUCCGAGUGUAGAGGUGAAAUUCGUAGAUAUUCGGAAGAACACCAGUGGCGAAGGCGACACACUGGCUCAUUACUGACGCUGAGGCUCGAAAGCGUGGGGAGCAAACAGGAUUAGAUACCCUGGUAGGAUAGCG
rnacentral:rRNA from 1 species